rnacentral:rRNA from 1 species
UACAGUUUGAUCAUGGCUCAGGACGAACGCUGGCGGUAUGCCUAACACAUGCAAGUCGAACGAGAUUAUUUUUUUGUUNNNAAAGAAAUGAUUGCAGUGGCGGACGGGUGAGGAACACGUAAGAACUUACCUUUUGGCGGGGGAUAACAACGGGAAACUGUUGCUAAUACCCCAUAAUGCUGAGGAGCGAAAGGGAAACUGCCAAAAGAGAGGCUUGCGUCUGAUUAGCUAGUUGGCGGAGGUAAAUGCUCCCCAAGGCGACGAUCAGUAGCUGGUCUGAGAGGAUGAUCAGCCACACUGGGACUGAGACACGGCCCAGACUCCUACGGGAGGCAGCAGUGGGGAAUUUUCCACAAUGGGCGAAAGCCUGAUGGAGCAAUACCGCGUGAAGGAUGAAGGAUCGUGGUCCGUAAACUUCUUUUCUUAACGAAGAAAAUCUGACGGUAGUUAAGGAAUAAGCACCGGCUAACUCCGUGCCAGCAGCCGCGGUAAUACGGGGGGUGCAAGCGUUGUCCGGAAUGAUUGGGCGUAAAGCAUCUGUAGGUGGUUUUUAAAGUCGACUGUUAAAGCCCAGGGCUCAACUUUGGAUAAGCGGUCGAGUACUUAAGGACUUGAGUAUGGUAGGGGUAGAGGGAAUUCCUAGUGGAGCGGUGAAAUGCACAGAGAUUAGGAAGAACACCGAGGGCGAAAGCACUCUA